rnacentral:rRNA from 1 species
GCGCACGCUGGCGGCAGGCUUAACCCAUGCAAGUCGAGCGGACCUUUCGGGGUCAGCGGCGGACGGGUGAGUAACGCGUGGGAACGUGCCUUCCGGUUCGGAAUAACCCUGGGAAACUAGGGCUAAUACCGGAUACGCCCUUAUGGGGAAAGGUUUACUGCCGGAAGAUCGGCCCGCGUCUGAUUAGCUAGUUGGUGGGGUAACGGCCUACCAAGGCGACGAUCAGUAGCUGGUCUGAGAGGAUGAUCAGCCACACUGGGACUGAGACACGGCCCAGACUCCUACGGGAGGCAGCAGUGGGGAAUAUUGGACAAUGGGCGCAAGCCUGAUCCAGCCAUGCCGCGUGAGUGAUGAAGGCCUUAGGGUUGUAAAGCUCUUUUAUCCGGGACGAUAAUGACGGUACCGGAGGAAUAAGCCCCGGCUAACUUCGUG